UGGGCGGUGAAAUUGUUGCACAGACCUGUUCCUAUUAGUUCACUGAGGAAAAUAGCAAUCAUGAGCCU
ensembl:snoRNA C27H6.5 ncRNA